rnacentral:rRNA from 1 species
ACACGAGUUUGAUCCUGGCUCAGAACGAACGCUGGCGGCAUGCCUAACACAUGCAAGUCGAACGAGACCUUCGGGUCUAGUGGCGCACGGGUGCGUAACGCGUGGGAACCUGCCUUUAGGUUCGGAAUAACUCAGAGAAAUUUGAGCUAAUACCGGAUAAUGUCUUCGGACCAAAGAUUUAUCGCCUUUAGAUGGGCCCGCGUUGGAUUAGCUAGUUGGUGGGGUAAAGGCCUACCAAGGCGACGAUCCAUAGCUGGUCUGAGAGGAUGAUCAGCCACACUGGGACUGAGACACGGCCCAGACUCCUACGGGAGGCAGCAGUGGGGAAUAUUGGACAAUGGGCGAAAGCCUGAUCCAGCAAUGCCGCGUGAGUGAUGAAGGCCUUAGGGUUGUAAAGCUCUUUUACCCGAGAUGAUAAUGACAGUAUCGGGAGAAUAAGCUCCGGCUAACUCCGUG